rnacentral:misc_RNA from 1 species
CAACCCUCAAGCUCAGCUUGGUAUUGGGUGUCACCUGCAAUGGUGCACCUUAAAAUCAGUGGCAGCGCCAUCUGGCUUCAAGCGUAAUAAAACUCUCGCUCUGGAGAUUUGGAUGUGUGCUGGCCAUCAAGCCUUAUUUUAUCAAU